UUCGAUUUAGGAGCCAGUAGUCUGUCUUGGCCUGACUCAUCUAAAAUGCCUGUGAUUAGUAAGCCAACUUUAUUUGGUUCAGACAAAUGUUUUCAUCACAAAUUAAAAUAUAUAACUACAUCUGGUGUCCUCUUAGGGCUGGAUUCAUCAUUAACUAAAAGCAAAGCACAUUCAGUGGAGUGUUUCCGUGAUGAACAGGACCUGUGCAGCGCUGUGGCUGAACUGAAGCAAGCUCACCAGCAGAUGAACAAGCAGAAGAGCAGCCUGUUGAUGAUGGUGACUCAGUGUGAAGAUGAGAACCUGCAGCUCAGUGUGGAAGUCACUGAGCUGCAGGCACAACUGGACAGCGCUCAGCGGUCAACGCAGGCAGUGAGAUAUCUCACAGACGAACUGGAGGAGACCCAGCAGAUUUUAAGAGAGACCCAGGAGAGAGCUGGCCAAACCCAGCGCAGCUUCUCCAAACUGGUACAUCAAAGACGCGCCUCAGAAGUUAUCUUUAAAGCAGGAUUUUAUUUUUCACACAGAUGUUUUUUCUGGUUUGGGUUUUAG
rnacentral:lncRNA from 1 species